rnacentral:lncRNA from 1 species
ACAUGGUAUGAUGAUCUGGAAGCCUCAAAAUAAAGGUUUUUGUUACCUUACCGUAUACACAAGUCCCUUGUCUCACCUUCACUAAAUAUUAUUCAUCGUCGUUCACGCUUCAUCUCAGCUACCUCCGUUGAACGAUUAUAAUUAAUUAUACGAAAACAAUGAGCUCAAUCACUGCGACCGUGCACAAGUUAACAUAUUAAUCCAGACAAAAACAUAACACAAUAAUUUCUGUUCAGUUUCCAGACUACCAUAUUUUGAUAGACUAUCCUAUUAAGUAGAAAAGCAAAAGUAGCUAUAGGACACAUAUAUUACAUAUUCAUUUU